GAUGAAGAACGCAGUGAAAUGCGAUAAGUAAUGUGAAUUGCAGAAUUCAGUGAAUCAUCGAAUCUUUGAACGCACAUUGCGCCCGCUGGUAUUCCGGCGGGCAUGCCUGUUCGAGCGUCAUUUCAACCCUCAAGCCCCCCGGGUUUGGUGUUGGGGAUCGGCUCUGCCUCACGGCGGUGCCGCCCCCGAAAUACAUUGGCGGUCUCGCUGCAGCCUCCAUUGCGUAGUAGCUAACACCUCGCAACUGGAACGCGGCGCGGCCAUGCCGUAAAACCCCAACUUCUGAAUGUUGACCUCGGAUCAGGUAGGAAUACCCGCUGAACUUAAGCAUAUCAAUAAGCGGAGGA
rnacentral:misc_RNA from 1 species